AUUGAACGCUGGCGGCAUGCCUUACACAUGCAAGUCGAACGGCAGCACGGGAGCAAUCCUGGUGGCGAGCGGCGAACGGGUGAGUAAUAUAUCGGAACGUGCCCAGUCGUGGGGGAUAACGCAGCGAAAGCUGUGCUAAUACCGCAUACGAUCUAAGGAUGAAAGCGGGGGAUCGCAAGACCUCGCGCGGUUGGAGCGGCCGAUAUCAGAUUAGCUAGUUGGUGGGGUAAAGGCCCACCAAGGCGGCGAUCUGUAGCUGGUCUGAGAGGACGACCAGCCACACUGGAACUGAGACACGGUCCAGACUCCUACGGGAGGCAGCAGUGGGGAAUUUUGGACAAUGGGCGCAAGCCUGAUCCAGCAAUGCCGCGUGCAGGAUGAAGGCCUUCGGGUUGUAAACUGCUUUUGUACGGAACGAAACGGCCCUUUCUAAUACAGGGGGCUAAUGACGGUACCGUAAGAAUAAGCACCGGCUAACUACGUGCCAGCCGCCGCGGUAA
rnacentral:rRNA from 1 species